AUUGAACGCUGGCGGCAGGCCUAACACAUGCAAGUCGAGCGGAUGAAGGGAGCUUGCUCCUGGUUUCAGCGGCGGACGGGUGAGUAAUGCCUAGGAAUCUGCCUGGUAGUGGGGGAUAACGUCCGGAAACGGGCGCUAAUACCGCAUACGUCCUGAGGGAGAAAGUGGGGGAUCUUCGGACCUCACGCUAUCAGAUGAGCCUAGGUCGGAUUAGCUAGUUGGUGGGGUAAAGGCCUACCAAGGCGACGAUCCGUAACUGGUCUGAGAGGAGGAUCAGUCACACUGGAACUGAGACACGGUCCAGACUCCUACGGGAGGCAGCAGUGGGGAAUAUUGGACAAUGGGCGAAAGCCUGAUCCAGCCAUGCCGCGUGUGUGAAGAAGGUCUUCGGAUUGUAAAGCACGUUAAGUUGGGAGGAAGGGCAGUAAGUUAAUACCUUGCUGUUUUGACGUUACCAACAGAAUAAGCACCGGCUAACUUCGUG
rnacentral:rRNA from 1 species